UUAAGACGUCAUAUCAAAGGUCAAGCUUAUUUCCCCAAUUUUCAUACCCUGCUCCCAAAUUUGCCCUUCUUCAAAGAGGAUUUAAUGGUUUAUUCGGUUUAUUUGAUCAUAGAGUGUGUAACCGAUGGCCUGAUUGAAUGUUCAUUCAAUUUAUAGCAUUGAAUAUAAUUGAAGAUGUGGAUUGAAAAUUGAAUCCCAUUUAACCCUUACAAGAAACUGAAGAGGUUAAGACGCCCCUUAUAUUUACUCAUCACCGUUUACAUCAUCAGAAGCAGCAAUAGUUACAAUCACCAAAUCCACAAGCAUUUCUCUGUGUCUCCCCAAAUUCCCAAUUUCUCAUACCUGAAGAUAAAAUCUGGCAUGUAAGUUUUAUCAUUGUAACAAUUUAUUACGACUGGGUUUGUUGAAACUCGUAAAAUUAGGGCUUGCAAUUGAAAUUAGGUUGUUUUUCUUGUGUUGAAAUUUGGUGAUUGGCUGGUUCCAAUGGCUGAAGUGGCGUCUUCGUCAACCACCACCGGUACACCGAUCGAUUGGAUAAGGAGAUCAAGACAAUUGGUCAUCCAAAACAAGCGAAACUGGUUAAUGGCAUGGGAGGUUGCAGCGAAAGCAUAUCAAGAGCUUUUAAUGGAUAUGUGUUGGCAGAAACUUGCCCCUAACUUGCCUUAUGUGAAGUCAUUGUUUUAGGUUGGUUUGAGCCGUUGAGGCUUCGCCGGAGACUCACGGAAACGAAGGCGUCUCCGUCAAUUGUUGAAGAAAUUGAAGCUAAGCUUCGUGUGAUGCAGUUUGUCGACAGGUUGUUGUAAUAAUACUUGAUUAAUCUGAAUGAUUAUUGGUUGAUUGUCAGAAUUUAUUAUUGUUUUUGUUUGUGAUUUAUUUGAAAUAAUUUGUUGAAAUUGUAAGGUUUCGUUGAUUAGAUGUUAAAGUAAUUUUGUUUGUUUUGUUAGUUCUUAUUAUUCUUAGGUAAGAUUAAUUUUACUAAAGAGUAGGGCUGCUUUUGUUAAAGAAUUGAGGUUGGUCUACAUUGGUUCACCAAGAAAAAGAGGUGUGUAUUAUGUUCAAACAAUGAAAUAAAAUCUAUUUAGUCGUGUGUAUCCAAGAUCUUAAUUAAUUACUCUCAAAGCAGCAACCAAGAAUCAGAUUUAGGGUUUCGUUCGUCUGCACCCUUAAUCGAAUUAGAGUGGAGAUAAUUGCAACAUCCCAACCUGUUACUGUAUUUCUCAUUUGAUUUGAUAUGUAGUAUUUGGUUGUGAAAAAUACAACUUGAUCACUUUAUCAUCUUCCUGCCCAAAUAAUUUGUAGAUAAUCAACCAAUUUGCUGUCAAACUUACAAUUGGUUAUUUAUUGAUGGUUUAGUACUUAUUUUUAUUUCCUUUGUUUCAUGUGAAUAUCAUUUAUCUGCUGGUCUUGGAACUAAUAAAGUUGUUGCGGAGCGCUGGGCGCUGGACAUGUAGCUGGCUGAAGUAUUUGGGUUGUGAUCAGAUCUUGUUGUGGGCUGUAACAUAUAGGGUUGGUCUUCUGGUGGGCUACUUCUUCAUCAGCUACUUGAUGAGCACCUACAACAAUUACCAAUGGCCAUGUAAAGUUGGAAAGUGGAACUACUCGGGGCAGUCUUCAAGAAUAUGUUUUGAACUCAAGCACAGCAACCCGUUCAGUGUCCAAAGAAAGAGCCAAGAUGAUGUAGAAUAAAAGGUCAAAGCUCAAUUGAGCCUGGUCUCUCAAGUUGAGAGUCAAAAUUGUUGGCCGGGGUGGCUUUGAAAAACUUGAUGUCCAAAUUCUGGUAUGUCAUUCGUCUUAAAAAUAUAGUAAUUAGUUGUUGCUGAGCGCCCAAAUUUUUACCCGAUCACCCAAUGUUCCUGUAGUAUUAUUUGCCCUUUUUAUAUUGUACUCAUAGACGUAGAAAUUUCAAUUUUAUUUAUGAAUGGGUUGAUUAUGGUUGUAUUUUA